GACAGAGGCCUCGAGCGUUAGGCGGAAUCACUGGGCUUAAAGCGUGUGUAGGCGGACUUCUAAGUACCUUGUGAAAUCCCACGGCUUACCCGUGGAACUGCUUGGUAUACUGGUUGUCUUGAGCUUUCUAGGGGCGAGUGGAACAAAUGGUGGAGCGGUGAAAUGCGUAGAUAUCAUUUGGAACGCCAAUGGUGAAAACAACUCGCUGGGGAAAUGCUGACGCUGAGACACGAAAGCCAGGGGAGCGAACGGG
rnacentral:rRNA from 1 species